GCCUAGGUCGGAUUAGCUAGUUGGUGAGGUAAUGGCUCACCAAGGCGACGAUCCGUAACUGGUCUGAGAGGAUGAUCAGUCACACUGGAACUGAGACACGGUCCAGACUCCUACGGGAGGCAGCAGUGGGGAAUAUUGGACAAUGGGCGAAAGCCUGAUCCAGCCAUGCCGCGUGUGUGAAGAAGGUCUUCGGAUUGUAAAGCACUUUAAGUUGGGAGGAAGGGCAUUAACCUAAUACGUUAGUGUUUUGACGUUACCGACAGAAUAAGCACCGGCUAACUCUGUGCCAGCAGCCGCGGUAAUACAGAGGGUGCAAGCGUUAAUCGGAAUUACUGGGCGUAAAGCGCGCGUAGGUGGUUCGUUAAGUUGGAUGUGAAAUCCCCGGGCUCAACCUGGGAACUGCAUUCAAAACUGUCGAGCUAGAGUAUGGUAGAGGGUGGUGGAAUUUC
rnacentral:rRNA from 1 species